rnacentral:snoRNA from 1 species
AACCCAUGCUGAGGGCAUCUUUGCAAAUGGUCCUUAUAUCUCUCCCAUGCAUCGUAGAGUGUCUUUAAAUCCAUCUGCACAAAAGAAGAGAUAUCAUUACGUAAUUU